rnacentral:lncRNA from 1 species
GAAUUCAUUUUUAAUAGAUAUGAUAAUAAAAAUUUAACAUUCAAUGUAUAUCGGUAUAACCACAUCCAAAUUCACAUCCGUAGAAAUAUAUGGAUGUGAAUAUGAUUUUGUCAUUAAUUCGAGAUAUCAACGGGUUAGAUUCGAGGCGGGUUUUUAAAAAUCUAAACUCGAACCCGACUACCAAACUCGAAACCCGAAUCUGACGGAUUUUAAAAAUCUAUAUCCAAAUCCGAACCUUCUCUUUAUAAUAUUUCAAAAUAUAUUACAUUAAAUCCAAAAUUUUUAAAUACAAAUUCAAAUACAACAUUAAACAUAUAUUUAUAUAUUCUAUUCAAUGUAAAAUAAUUUCAGAUUCGAGCCGGGUUGGGGUUCGGAUUGGGUAGUAUAAUCAAAAUCCAUGUUUAAAUCCAAAUUUAUUGUGUUUUCGUUCUUGAUAUCUAUAUCUGAAACUAUGGCUUAGUUUGGUAUUGAUGUCUAUCUAACGCUAUUAGAUAAAAUGAAGUUGAGGAAAAAGCAUAUAGGGAUAUGCUUCUGCGUUCUCCGGUGGGACUGCUAACCGACUCAUCGGAAUAUGCGGAACGCAAUAUUAGAUACGGAAACAAACAGACUUUCUCACCGCACGUAACGCAAUUCCCGCAAUCCCAAACGAAGCCUAUAUCUAUUUAGCAUAGAAUAAAUUUACUCGGUUCAGAUUCGAAUUCGGAUUCGGAUAAAAUUUUGGAUAUUUCUAUUCAUCGAAAUCCCUAAAUUCGACCAUAUUUGACCCUUUCCACCCACAUCUACUAAUACACUCGGUGCACGCAAUAAUUUCCCGGUCAGAGUGGGUGGCGCCGACCGUCUCCGGAUACCCGCCGAAAGAUGGUUACGGUCAUUAUCGUGACCCGUGCGCAGUAGCCACUAAAUUUUCUUUUAAUCUAAAAUACAGAUUUUUUUAAGAUAAACUUUUUUUUAGUUUAAUAUCUUAUGAUUUAAAGUAUAUCAAAUUCAUAUGCUGUGGUUUCAUUAUAUUUUUUUGUCAGCUAUUCUGUUAAUAUUUUAUUAAAUUAAAUAUAAAAAACUUCAAAUAUUUUACUUAGAGUUAUCGAAUAUUCACUUUAAUACCCUUUAGUUUUAACUUUGUUACCGAUUUUACGAAAAAAAUAAUAGAAUAGAUAAUAAAAAAAAUCACAGAAUACUAAAUUGAUACACUUUAAACCACAUAAUACUAAAGUAAAAAAGUGUGAAAUUAUAGGGGUGUUAUUUUAAGUUUUUAUUUUUUUUAAAUACACAGUUAAUUUUUUUAUUUUUUUAAUUUUUAAAAAUAUUGUCAAAAACUUGUGACGUUAUUUUUUAUUUUUCUAUAAAAUUAUUUUAAAUAUAUUUUUUCGGUUUUAAAAAUAUUUUUGGCAUAAAAUAGACAAAAGUGUGACGUAAUAAAUUAGGGGUACCAAUUUAAAACUUUUAAAAGACAGAAUAUAAAUUUUUAAGAGUCAGAAGAAAAAAGUGAAAAAAAUAAAUAUUUAUAUUUUUUUUAUAUUUUAGUCUUUUAAGAACUUAAUCUAGUUUGUGGUUUUGCACUUAGUAUCAUGUGAUUUAAAGUGUAUCAAUUUAGUACUAUGUGAUUUUAUUUUUCUCUUUUCAUCAGCCUCUUUAUUAAUUUUUCGUUAAAUUAUAUACAAAAUUUUUAUAUGUCUUAUCUAUAGUUUACUGAGUAUUAAAUUUAGUACCUUUAGUUUUAAUUUUAUUAUUGAUAUGAUGAAAAAAAAUUAGUGGAGGAAAUAAUUAAAAGGAAAAUUAAAACUACAUAGUAUGAAAGUAAUACACUUUAAAUUAUUAUAGUAUAUUAAAAUAAAAAAAUACAAAACUUGGGGGUGUUUAAAGUUUUCUCUAUUUUUAAUAAUAAAAGGAAUUUAGCGGCACUGGCACGGGGAUUAUUAUUAUUAUUAUACUAUUAUUAUUAUAAUCAAUAAUAAUGGCAAUUAAUAAAUAGCCCCCGAUAAUUCUAAAUAUUUAAAACGAGUCCAAAAACCACUGUGUGGGGCCCAGCGCAUUUAAAAGUAUCUCUCUCUCUUUCGAAAGUUCCUUCUAAACCCUUCUCUCCUCCCCCUAUUUUUUUUUUUUUUUUCGAUUUUCUUUUUAUUCUCCUCGCUUUCGAUUGCGCGGUCCUCUCGCGAUCGAAGCUUCAAAAAGGAAAUUUAAAUCCAAAUAAAGCUAAACAUAUUCGGAGAAUCCGUCCUCUUUCCCACUCUGUAUAUAGGAAUCGAAGGGAAAGUUUGGAGAUUAGGAUCAAAACCCUCGGAAGAAGCCCCUUUGGAUGUUGAUUUUGGGGGAGAUUUACGAGGUUUGUUGUUCUUUUUCUUUUCUCCUAAUUAUCAUUUAGCGCGGCGGAUAAAGUUCUUGCCUUUUAGUAUAGGGAUAUAUAUAGAUUUCUAGUUGAUUAAUUUUCCGAAAUCACUCAAAAGAAGUAAUUUUGGGGCUUUUACGCCUUUUAGGAUUGAACUUUGGUAGUAGGUGUGAUUAGUAUUCUAUGAAAAAGAGGCCUUUUUUUGAUUGGUAGCUCAGGAAGAUUCGUUCAUAAGUAAAUAUUCCCACCUGUUUGGUGCUAUUUGUCCCUAUUUUGAGUUAGAUUCUCAUAAUUCCAAUUAUCUCUAAGAAAAAGAGUUUUUUGUUUGAGAUUUUAGGGAUUAAAUUGUUGUUUACCACUGUUGGGUUAUAUUAGGAUUUUACUUUAUGCCUACUUGAUCAUAAGUUUGUGAAAUCAAAUAAAGGAAGGAUUUUCCUGUUUUUUUAGUUUAAUUUUUACGAGUGAAAUUUCAUUUCUUUUAGUGUUGAACUUUAGUAGCAAGUAUAAUUAGCCUUUUUAUUAAAAAAAGGGACUCAUUUUUUUUUUUGCCAAUAGUUAGCUUAUGGAGGACUCAUUCCUAUGAAACUCCGUCCUCUUUUGUUCUAAUUGUAUCUUUUAAUUUUGGUGCAGAAAAAUUUUAAUGAGAUUAUCAAUAAAAAGUAGCUAUGACUGCUGUCUCUGUAAAUUUCACGCUUCCUUGGUUGAUGGAUAACAGGGUUUAAGUUACUUAGAUCGAUGAUGAGGGUAAUCCGUGAUUCUGGAGACGCCAUGCAGGAGGAGGCGGUUCGAAUGGUCUCGUCGGAUGUUAAUUUUGCAAAGGGCCAAUUUCCCGAGUAUAAGAUAGGAGCAAACAAUAUGAUCAUUGAGCCGGAAAAGAGUUCGGAGGUUAUCCCUCUUAAGGAGAUUGUCGCUAGGGAGACGGCUCAGCUUCUCGAACAGCACAAGCGGCUCUCUGUUCGUGACCUCAAGGAGAAGUUCGAGAAGGGUCUGUUGGGCGCCAACAAACUCUCCAAUGAGGUUUACGGUCCACUUGUGAUGUGUGUUUGCUAUUUGCAUCUUUAGUUAAAAGAGAGGCCGCCCUAAAUUGUUUCUUGGUGUUUCAGGCCAAGUGGAGAGAAGUGGCAUCUUUGGAUAGGCAAGUCCUUUUAAAGAAGCUCAGGGACACUUUGGAAUCUCUGAGGGGGCGAGUGGCUGGUCGUAAUAGAGAUGAUGCUGAAGAAGCAAUCUCACUGGUCUGACUCCCCUCCCUUUUUGAUAACUUUUUUCAAUCAAUUAUCAAUAGUUAGAAUUCGUGCAUAUAAUUUUCUCUAUAAAUGUGUUUUAUAGUUUGUCAAGUUUUUCUCAAUAUGUAGUAGUAAAUGAAUUGUUCUUGUUCACCUAGUUUUCAUCGAAUAUAGCAGUUAUAUCAUGAGAUUUAGAAUCCUUUUGGAGUGUAACUUCAUGUACAAUAUAUAGAAGUCAACUUUGGAAGAGUAAGAACCUAUCAUGAUUCUCUUCUUCAAUCUUCUUUCUAUGCUUCAAAGGCUACUGCAAAGCGUACAUCAGUGUCUUAGUGCAUGGUAGCAAAUAAGAAGAUGACCAAAGAUAGAAGAUCACAGUGGAUUAUACCAGAUACUGUACAAAAUUUUAGUUGCGAUGUAUGGAAGAUUAGCUACAAUGCUGUUUGUUUUACAACUUCAAUGAUAUUCAUAAUUUUCAACAUCUUUCAUGCAGUUAUUGGUUAUGCUUUACGUCGGUGUAAUUAGUUGUUCUUUCGCAGGUGGAAGCAUUAGCAGUUCAACUGACCCAAAGAGAAGGAGAGUUGCUUCACGAAAAAGCAGAAGUUAAAAAGCUAGCAAAUUUUCUUAAGCAGGUUGGUAAAAGCAAUUAAGCAAUGGAUUGCACUCACCAAGUUAGUAGUCAACGUGUCAAUACCUGUCCCUUUAUCUGCUUCCAACUUUAUAUAGUACAAUCUAUGUUGAAAAAUGCUGAAUUACGACCCUGAUCUCUUUUUUAAUCCAAUGGAGCAAUUGCUAACCCCACAUGGAGUAAGAGUAGUUAGGUGUUUGGGAUAAACAACUUCUCUGGCCUCCUGUUCUUUCAUGGUAGAGCAAUUAUUGACUUUGAUAAGGAUACUCUUAGUUGAGUUUGUAGUUCUCUUAUGGACUCGAAUAUAUCCUUUUCUGCAAGUUAAUAAAGAUAUUACAACCCACCAAUGUUUCCUCAACAAAACAGUAUUUCUUCAAAUUUUAAAUGGUUGGGAUUGCUUAAUUUUCAGACACUCCAGGAGAUAUAAAAUUCUAUUAGCUCAUGUUGUCCUUGUUGGACAGCUACUCAAUAAUAAGCCCGAGUAAAUUUAGUAUUGUUUCUCUCAAAAAAAAAUUUAGUAUUGUCCAUGCAGUGACAAAUUAAUUGUGAGCUUCUCAUUCUGUUGGUUCUUGCAGGCUACUGAAGAUGCUAGGAAGGUGGCUGAAGAAGAAAGGGCUAUUGCUCUUGCUGAAAUUGAAAAAGCCAAGGCAGCGAUAAAAAGAGUUGAGCAAGCAUUGGAGGAACAUGAACUCAGCACCACUAGUACUGAGAAUCAGGUGAAAUUUCGGUUACGAAGUUGGAUAAAUUUUCUCUUCACUCAAUACAAACUUUUCCACCGCCCAUCUCCCAUUGUUUUUUUUUUUUUUAAAUUCUAGUUGCCAUUCAGGACAAAACUCCUGUUUUCUUUCACAGAGUUAUUGUCUAAAUAUAAUGACUCCUAUUUCCAAAUCAUUUUAGCUAACAGAAAUAUUAAAUAGAAAUAUGAGAAAGAUUAAUUUGAUCGCCACGGAGUUUAUUGUUGCAUAUUAGAUACUCUUCUAGUCUCUAGUUUAUAAUCUGACUGUACUUUAUUUAAUGUUUAAAAAUGUACAAAUGUGACCACAUAUGAGUGCAUGCAAACAAUCAUGUGUAUUGUUAUGAAUCUUGUAUGUAUGCCUUAGUAGUCUGUUAUUUUCUUUUGAAACUUGAAGGAAUUGGAAGAAUUGCGAAAAGAGAUUCAAGAGGCUAGACGAAUCAAAAUGUUGCACCAGCCAAGCAGGGUAGGUGUCUACGUUUCUGUUGUCAUAUUGUAUUAUUUUGUUUUCUUCUGGAUAUUCUUUCUUGAUAUUACCUUUUUUUGGUUCUUUGUUCCAAAUUCAAGGUAUUAAAAUUUUCUGUUUUACUGUUUUGAAACUUCAGGUAUUAAAUUUUCUGUUUUACUCUUUUGAACUUCAAUCUAUUUCUAAUUUGCUGCUAAAAUGAGAGAUAAUUUCUAUAGGUAACGGACAUGGAGCAUGAACUUCGAGCACUGCGGAAGCUUGUUUUAGAGAAGACUCAGCUUUGUAUUCAACUAAAGAAAGAGGUUUGUUAUUACAGACUUUACAGUUUUGUCUGCUAAAGUGACUCUCCUAGCUCAAUAGAAUAAGAACUACCUAUUCUUGGUUGCUCAUAUAGAUUUUUGAGUUGCUCAUAUCCCCUCUUGUACCUUUAUGUCCUUUUGGAUGUUCAAAAAGCAUUUUGUGUGUUUUGCUUGUAUAAUAGCCCAUGUAUUCAGGUGCAUCAAUUACAAUUCUUCUAAACUGAUUUCAUGUUUGAGAAGAUCACCUGUAUCGCUAUUCUACGAGUAUUCAUGCUCCUGCUAUCUUUGGCAAGUAGAUGUCUGAGGAUCACUGAGCUGAUACGAGCUGAUCUUGAGCUUGGCUCAGCUUAUUAUACUUUUUACACUCCUAUGCAGGGGUGUGUUACACUAAAGUUCAAUUAUGUUAAUUGUAACUGCAUAUAUGAUUUUUCAAUUAUGGUAAUUGGAUCUCCUAUCUCCAGCUUGCAAUGAUCAAAAAACUUGAGGAUGAAGGCCCUCAUCUCUAUGAGCUUGAAGGUUCUGAAAGUCUAGGCUCAUGCUUACGCAUUGUAUGUCGAAGUGAUAGUGCACCAGGAAUCUUAAAUUAUUCAAUUCAGUGGUACCGUGUAAAUGCUGAAGGAAGCAGGAAAGAAAUAAUCUCAGGUAGAUUGGUUCAAUGUUUCUUUCAUUGAGCUAUUAAUCUUGUUGUAUCAUGUUCUCUACUAUCAGUUGCUGUAUGUUAGUUGGUUAUUUUGAUUGUUUGAGUGUACUUUUGCACGAAUUUCCUGCCUGAAGCUCGAGCAGCUUUAUAAAAUAGCUGUUUUUGUCAUCAUUGGAAGCUGUUGAAUUUGCUUAGAUGUCAAACUGAUAGUGCGACAACUUUCCAAGUUUGGAGGAGGGUAAGAUGAGUAAAAGUAGAUUGUUGGAGAUUAAAGCAUGCAGAAUCAAGAAGAGCACUAUAAAGUAAAAAUGAACAAAUGUGCGACGUUUACGAAUAAUUUAAUAAGAAAUAUCUAAGAUAAUAGUUUUGGACCACAUAAGAAGAUGCAUAUGGAAGAUUAGCAGUUAUCUCUUUCAAGUGACAUCAGUGAUUGGAAAGGUAGAAUCCCAUUAUUUAGACUUAAAAAAAUGUGUAGAAAUUCGUAAUUUUCUGCAGAUGAUAUGCAUAUCCGUGCAUAUUGGCCCUUGAGAGAUCUCUGAUUCUGUUUAUGUUGUUAGAGUAAAACAUGGUAAUACAGCAAUACCUACACAUCCUGCAAUACUACUAUCAUUCUACUUAGUGUAAACUUGCAUAAGUAGACUUUGGAGAAGUACUUUAGUUAGUAUGGAUUACUACAAUUAAUAAUAAAGAACAUUCUGCUGCACAAAUAUUUUUGUUUUCAUGUGUUAAUCUUGACUUGAAAUACAACAUUUAUUGCAUGCAGGAGCAACAAAAGAAAUUUAUGCUCCUGAGCCUUUUGAUGUCGGAAGGAUUUUGCACGCAGAGAUGAAUUUAAAUGAUCAAAGGAUCACAUUGAUGACAAUGAGUCCAAUAGAUCCUGGUUUGACACUCCUCCUUUUUCUGACUUUCAUUUGCUUUAAUGAAACUUUGCAAUUUUGAAGUGAUGCUUUGUCAACUUUUCAUUUAUCAACAACAAAGUAAACUUUUAUCAGUAACAAAGUAAAUUCUGUUAUUUGUGAAGCUAAUCAUUAACUAUCAGUUAUUUCCAUAUCAAAAUAGCUUUAAAUUUGCUUAUUGUAUGUCGGUGAAAACUGGUGAAAUUAUUAUUGUUAUUAUUUUUAUCAAACCAAAAAUUGCUUGAUAUGUUUCAAUAGUGUGUAAACUGCGUCUUAAUAGUGGUGAAUCUAGUCAAUAACAUAUCUACUUCUCACGAAUUCUGCUACCAUUCUUGUCUUGCUUUUCGCCAGUCUAUGUCGUAUCUACUCAUGAAAAUCUGGUGCCAUUUUUAACUAUUUAUUUUCUACAGCUGCAGGAUUGGAAAGUUAUGUGGAGGCACUCUCUAAGAAGUCUGAUAGUGAAUUCAAUGUAUGAACUUAUGCUGCUUUUAAGCUAAUUUUCAGCUUAUCUUUGCUAAAUGCCAUUAAUUUCUAAGUAAAUUAUAGGAUCUGAAGUUUUGUUAAUGCAUUUAAUUAUUUUAUGUCAUUCAAUGAAAUCUUUAUUGUGGAAGUUUCCUCAAAAUUUCAUCUUUUAUGCCCUUCGGCAUGUACUUACCUCUAAUAUGUCUUUCAUGCUUCUUUUUAGGUGGUAGUUACCCAAGCAAAUGGUCGAGAUUAUGCAUCGAAUUCGGUCCAUGUGUUUCAUGUGGGAAAGCUUAGGAUAAAGCUUCGUAAAGGGAGGUCUACAAAGGCAAAAGAGUCAUAUUCCGCAUCAAUGCAGGUAACAGCUUGUUCUGGUUUUUGAAUCAUGAGAACAAUGUGCUUACUUCGACUAAUUAAAUCGUGAAUUCUUUAUGCAUUCGAGGAAGAUGCAGUUUUUCAACUUAUUUUGCAGCAAUAAGCUCUCUCUUUCUCUAUCUCUCUCUCUACUGUUACCAUUUGGGUAUCAAUAACGUGUUGAUUGUUAGUAAAGAGAUCACAUUGGCAAAUCAGGUAGCAAUCAUGUGUUUUAGGGAAGUAGUUAUUUCUAUACAUCCAUUUUCAAUAACUUCAGCCAAUUGAAGUGUCCAAUGUUCUUGUCUAAGUUUUUUACAUGGAAGUUAGGUCUACUAAUUGCAGGCGAGAGAUUUUUACAGCUCUGGGUGUGCGCGGAAAUUAGUAGAUUAUGAUUCUGUACAAAUUAGUCUUUGUUGUGAUUUACGUACCCAUUCCUAAUAAAUUUAGAAUUAAGAGCAUUGUUGCAUAUCAAUGAUAUUUGAACAUCAGUAGUGUAAAGAGUAUGAUAUUUUUUGGAAAUUAUCCUUGUCACUUAAUGCAAUCAUCCAAUAUGCAGUUAGAAUACAUGAUACAGAAGGUAGAUUAUGGCCCAAUCAGCCUUACAAACAUGUGAUUGCUAAGUGAAAUCGCUAGACAUAGAUUUUCAGUUAGUAAAACAUAUCAUGUGUUGGUGUCUGAUUCUUUUUAUUUUUCUGGCCAUCUCUAGCUCUGUGGGGUCCGAGGCGGUGGUAAUGCUGCAGCUAAGGCAGUGUUCUGGCAAUCUAAGAAAGGCUUGUUCUUCACCUUAGCUUUUGAAACAGAGAGAGAAAGGAAUGCCGCAAUUAUGCUCGCUCGCAAGUUCGCUUCUGAUUGCAAUGUAAGUUUCAGUUUUUAUUGAUCACCGAGUCAUCUCUUUUUUUCUAUUCCCUCGAGCUGAGCCACCUACUAAGUUCCCACUGCCUAGACAUGAACCUACAGCGAUUCCUUCGAGCGUGGGGAUUAGAGGUUUUUGAGAAAAAAAGUGGAAAAAAAAACCCUGCUUUUGCUAUUAUUGGCUUAAAGUACUAUCUCCAAGUUUGGCGACUGUGGUCACGCAGUAGUCUGUAAGGGAAAUUUCUGGAGGAGCAUUGUUUGAGGAGAGAUGUUCAAGGAAGCUCCAAUAUCUUGUUUAUUUUAAUCCUCCUACUAGCUCCAUUUAAAUAUGUCAGAAUCUUCAAAUUGGAAGCUUUGCUUUUGGAGACUAGAAGUUUACCGCAGUUUCCCGCCGUAGUAAAACCUCUUAAACUUCCUAUUUACUGAACACCUAGCCACAUCAAAACAGGCACUUUCCAUGUUUCAAGUCAUCUGAUUUUUUGAAUCUGUUUAAGUGGUCAUUUGCUUUGGAGUGUUUCGGUUUCUUAAGUUUGUUUCUGCAACUUUGGCAGGUUUUGCUUUUGGGGCCGGAUGAUCAAGCUCCAGCUGGGACCUGAUAAACUAAUCUGUUGCACUUCUAUACUAAUGUAUUGUAUAUUGAGGCUGCUUUUGAAUUGUGUAUUUGCUGAUUGCUAUAGGUAAAACAAAAAAAGCAGAUUUGAGUUUUGAGUUUUUUUUAAAUCUUUUUUUUUUUUUUUUUUUUUUUUUUUUUCUGAUUGUGUUUAGUACCAGGGCAUCUUUUUACUUGCCUUAUAAUUUGGUUGUAACCGGUUUGUUCAUUCGCAAGCCCUUAUAUAUAGAUUUUCUUUUUCUUGUGCACUAUAUUUUCUUUUCCUUAAUACCAUUGUGUAAUCAACAAAGAACUUAAGAGUGCUACCAUAUUGCUAGAUGUGAUUUUCCUUUGUGCUAAAUAAUGAACAUAAAUAAUAUGUACUGCUUUAGGGAUCUUCCAAUUUUUAUUUCCUCUAUCUAUGCAAACAUUUUGUUUGCGCGAAUUAAAGCAUGGAGAUGCUUGAAUAACAGAUGCACUGAUCUAAGGCAUUAUUUUAAAUGAUGAUUAUCGAUCGAAUAUACUAGUUAAUGUUUUUUUUUUUUUCAUUUUUUUGUGAUUUCAUUAACUCAAUAAUUUGCUGAUGUGGAUGGAAUUUGUUGUAGUUUUAGUGCAAGAAAGUUGGUAGAUGAAGUAGCAUGUUUAAGUGAAUGUCAGGUCUAGAUUGCAAUUUGUUGAAAAGUUUGGGGUUUGGUAUUUGAUGUUAUUUCUUUCUUAUUUGUUGAAAAGUUUGGGGUUUGGUAUUUGAUGUUAUUUCUUUCUUUUAUUUUGUUUCAAAUAAAAAAAUUUACAAGAAAAAAAAGUUAUAAACUCUUUACUAGAAUUUGUGUUUAACAAAAUUAAAUUAAAUAAGACCAUUUUUUAACUUAAAUGAAUCGGCGAGCUAUGUGAUUUGUCAUUCUUUAAUUUCAAUCAUUUUGCUUUGGGUUAAACUAAAUUCUCAUAUUUUCAAUACUUACUAGUUUUUUUUGAAUUUUUAAAAUUCAAAUGAUGAUUUAUAUUUGUGCUAAUGUUCAAGGGGUUAUGCACAUCAUUAAAAUUUAUUUUAAAUAAAACCCGAAAUUGGCUUUAUUUUGUGAAUUAAUGCGUUUCUUUUGUUAUGGCUAAAUUACAUUUUUAGUCCUAAAACACACAUUAACCUAAAAAAAUCAUUUUGUCUUUAAAGGACAAAUUAAAUGUGAAUGGCACUUAAUAUUAAAUUUAUUCAAACACUUCAAUAAUAAAAUAAUCUCACCCUUUUUAACUCCCCCAACGGCUAGUUUUUGAAACACCCCUCUACACGGCACGAUCCUAGCCGUUGGAUCACAGCCCACCCGACCGUUGGGGCUUUCAAAAGCCAAUUAGACCGUUGGAGGCCCCCCUCGCCAACACAAAAGGAAACCAAACCCCUCCAUUUAUGCACGAGACCCACAAAUCCAAAGCUAGCGAAGAAUCCACACAGGAGAGAGAAAGAGAGAGAGAGAGAGAGAGAGAGNAUGUGAUUUUCCUUUGUGCUAAAUAAUGAACAUAAAUAAUAUGUACUGCUUUAGGGAUCUUCCAAUUUUUAUUUCCUCUAUCUGUGCAAACAUUUUGUUUGCGCGAAUUAAAGCAUGGAGAUGCUUGAAUAACAGAUGCACUGAUCUAAGGCAUUAUUUUAAAUGAUGAUUAUCGAUCGAAUAUACUAGUUAAUGUUUUUUUUUUCAUUUUUUUUGUGAUUUCAUUAACUCAAUAAUUUGCUGAUGUGGAUGGAAUUUGUUGUAGUUUUAGUGCAAGAAAGUUGGUAGAUGAAGUAGCAUGUUUAAGUGAAUGUCAGGGUCUAGAUUGCAAUUUGUUGAAAAGUUUGGGAACAUCUCGUACUUGUUCUUAAAUAAAAUUAUAAAUAUAGGCCUCGUUUGGUAUUUGAUGUUAUUUCUUUCUUUUUAUUUUGUUUCAAAUAAAGAAAAUUUACAAGAAAAAAAAGUUAUAAACUCUUUACUAGAAUUUGUGUUUAAUAAAAUUAAAUUAAAUAAGACCAUUUUUUAACUUAAAUGUAUCGGCGAGCUAUGUGAUUUGCCAUUCUUUAAUUUCAAUUAUUUUGCUUUGGGUUAAACUGAAUUCUCAUAUUUUCAAUACUUACUAGGUUUUUUUGAAUUUUUAAAAUUCAAAUGAUGAUUUAUAUUUGUGCUAAUGUUCAAGGGGUUAUGCACAUCAUUAAAAUUUAUUUUAAAUAAAACCCGAAAUUGGCUUUAUUUUGUGAAUUAAUGCAUUUCUUUUGUUAUGGCUAAAUUACAUUUUUAGUCCUAAAACACACAUUAACCUAAAAAAAUCAUUUUGUCUUUAAAGGACAAAUUAAAUGUGAAUGGCACUUAAUAUUAAAUUUAUUCAAACACUUCAAUAAUAAAAUAAUCUCACCCUUUUUAACUCCCCCAACGGCUAGUUUUUGAAACACCCCUCUACACGGCACGAUCCUAGCCGUUGGAUCUCAGGCCAUCCGACCGUUGUAGCUUUCAAAAGCCAAUUAGACCGUUGGAGGCCCCCCUCGCCAACACAAAAGGAAACCAAACCCCUCCAUUUAUGCACGAGACCCACAAAUCCAAAGCUAGCGAAGAAUCCACACAGGAGAGAGGAGAGAGAGAGAGAGAGAGAGAGAGAGAGAGAGGAAAGAGAGGAGAAGGGGCUGCUGCUUCUGCUUCUGCUUCUCUCAACAGCUGAAGCCACAACGGUGGCUGCAAAUCCCGGCGUCGAAGGCGAAGGGGAGUCGGGGGCGGCUCAGCGCCUCCAUUCUUUCUUCUCGUCGGUGCUCUCGAGCAUCUUCUUUGGGCAGCAGAGCCAGGAACAAGAAGUAAAAGGAGGAGAAAGAGGAGGAGGAGGAGGAAUGGCCUCAAAGCAUCACAACGCAGUCGCUCCGCUGCAACCGAGAGGUUACACGGCUCUUUCUUUUGAUUUGUAUUUGUUCUCUUGAUUUCGCUCGUUUGCUUCUAUUGGGUUCCUCUCGUGUGUCUCAAUAGUUUCCUAGCAAAAAUAAAACAGGUAAGGAUUGAGAAAGAUUGGAUUUUGAUGAGCACCCAUUUCUUUAAUUGGCUCCUUGAGGGUUUUGUGAGGUUUUAAUCGUGCCUUGUUUCAUGGCUCUUUCUUUUGAUUUGUUUUUGUCCUCUUGAUUUCGUUCUAAUGGGUUCAUCUUGGAUUUCUCAUUGGUUUCCAAUAAAAAAAAAAGGGUAAGAAAUUAGAAAGGUUCAAAGAUUGCUUUUUGGAUGAAGACCCAUUUCUUUAAUUUGCUUCUUGAGGUGUCUUAUAAUUAAGGUCCUAAUGUGAUGUUGUUUUGUGUUUCUUUCUUUCGAUUUCUCUUUGCAGCAUUGCAAACUUCUUCUUCUUCUUUGGACAAUUGAGGAUAGUUUUUGCAGCGAAUAGAUCUUGUUUUACAAUUUUAUUUCUUUUGCCUUAUUCUCUUCGUUAUUUUCGCGCGGCACCAACUUCUAUUCGAUGAGUUUUUCUUGUUAGUACUCUCUUUUCCAUUUUUUCCUUUUGGAUUUUCUUUUUCUUGCUUUAUUCUUUCGAUCGUUUGGGUGCGCAAUCCCAGAGGCUAAUUCGAAUCCGACUUGUUCUUCGAUCAGGGGGGUUGGUUCCGACAGGGAAGCAGAAGGCCGCGGCAGGGGCAGAUGCGAAGAACCGGAGAGCGCUCGAAGACAUCGGUAAUCUGGUUAACGUCCGCGGUGCUGAAGGGUGAGUAUUGUCACCUCAAUCUCAAUUUGGACCUAAAACCGCGAAGAUCCAACACUACAUUUCUUCCUUAAUCUUUUGCCUUGUUCUCUCUUUUAGGAAGCCGCAGGCGCAGAUCAAUCGCCCCAUUACUCGGUGGGUCCUCAUUUUCCUCGCGAUCUCUUACGAUUAUCUAUUAUCUUAUGCCUACUUUAGAUUCAGAUAAUCUUAUGUUACAUUGGUUUCUUGCAGAAGCUUUGGUGCUCAACUGUUGGCACAUGCGCAAGCUGUCGCUGCUGUCACAAAGGUGUGCAGACGAUCUGCUGCUUCGCAGAGAAGCACUUCUAGAUAUCAAUCAUUUUACUAAAACCAUCGACAUUGUGUGCAGAAGCCUGUAGCUGUUCCCGCCGAUGGAGCAGUAGGAAAAGGUGGCGCGAAACCGGCCAACAAGAAGGCUCCCACUGUUAAGCCUAAGCCCGAAAACGUUAUCGAGAUCAGCGAUGACAAGAAAGAGGCGACGAAGCAGGUGUCGACUACGACGACAACAGCAGCAGCAGCAGUAGCAGCUAAUGUCGGUUCUCGCGGCAAACCUUCUCGAAAGAAAGUCCACACUUUCACUUCUGUACUCACCGCGCGCAGCAAGGUGCUAGCUCUAUUCUAGCUUUCACAGCUAGAGAAUUUCUCAUUGUGGUUUCUUAUUGUGACAAGAACUCAUCUUUUCGUCGGUGUUAAUGUAAGGAUGCUUGCGGGUUAACUGGGAAACCGAAAGAGUUGGUACAAGACAUCGAUGCGUCUGAUGCCGAUGACCAGUUGGCUGUUGUGGAUUACGUCGAGGAUAUCUACAAGUUCUACAAACUCGCUGAGGUUCGAAUUUUUUCGCGAAUUACUGCUUUCAUACGUUUAUAUAUAUACUCUUGUAUCUUAAUCUCUCAUUUGUGAUGCAGCAUGAGAGCCGACCCCACGACUACAUAGACUCUCAGGUAGAGAUCAAUGCCAAGAUGAGGGCCAUCCUCGCCGACUGGAUAAUCGAAGUGCACCAUAAGUUCGAACUCAUGCCCGAGACCCUGUACCUCACGUUUUAUGUUAUCGAUCGGUAUCUCUCGAUGGAGAUGGUGCCGAGGAGGGAGUUGCAGCUUGUGGGUGUCGGUGCCAUGCUUAUCGCUUGCAAGUACGAGGAAAUAUGGGCUCCCGAGGUAGAGAAACAAAUAUAGUAUCUUCGUCUUUUCCGGACCGAUGUAUCUAUAUGCAUUCAAAUUUGUGAUGAAUUUGAUUAAUUUGUGUAUUUGAUGCAGGUCAAUGAUUUCAUUUGCAUAUCAGAUAGGGCAUAUACCAGGGAGCAGAUACUGGGGAUGGAGAAAACAAUUCUGAACAAGCUGGAAUGGAACUUGACCGUUCCGACGCCGUAUGUGUUUCUCGUGAGAUUUCUGAAGGCUGCUGCCAGUGAUAAGGAGGUGAGGACUGUAAAAAUUUAUCCCUGAAAGUUUGCUCCAGAUUUCAAUUUUGAAAUCUCUUUUGAGUUUUCAAUUCAUGGUUCAAAUGCAGAUGGAGCAUAUGGUCUUCUUCUUCGCCGAACUGGGCUUGGUGCAAUACCCAAUGAUCAUGUAUUGUCCAUCGAUGUUCGCUGCUUCCGCAGUCUACGCGGCCCGCUGCACGCUGAAGAAGGACCCUUUCUGGACCAAGACGCUGAAGCGCCAUACUGGCUUCUCCGAGCAGCAGUUGUUGUAUGCAUCUUUCCUUUAUUCUAAUUGCAAUUCAUGCUGUAAUCAUUCAUCAUUGGUUUUGUGCUGCAUACCUGCAGGGACUGUAUGUACUAAGAUUUAUAAAAUCAUUGGUUUUGUGCAUGCCUGCAGGGACUGUAGUAAGAUCCUGGUGAACGCACACGCAACCGCAACGGAGAGCAAACAAAAGGUCGUGUACAAGAAGUACUCCCACGAGCAAUUCGCAGCCGUGGCUCUGCAGCCUGCGGCGACGAAAACGAUGGAGGAGUUGAAGAAAUCGAUCGAGUGAUCGUGGGUUGUUUUCUGUUCUUCUGUUGUGGUUUCGCAAGACUUUGAUAAUUCGUUAUUUUGUUUGUUUCGUCAUGCUUUCGAGUCUACAAGAGAAUCAAUCAUCUCAGUGAUGAUAGGAAUUAAGGAUGUGUGUGUGUGUUGUUCUGUUUCCCAGGUGUGCAUACUCUAUUCCCAGGAGUAUGGUGUAUCCCCCAGUUCAAUUUGUUCUGUUUCUGAGGGUGCACACUCUACCCAGUACAUUUUACAAUUUAUCGAAUUGUCGAUUUGAUUUGCGUCCAUGUAUCUGAUGAAUCUAUUGAUACAAUUGCUAUUUGUAUAAUUCUCUCUCCCAAAAUUUAGUGUGUAGAUUUAAGCUUUUAAGAGGAUUUUGAUUUUUCUUACUGUAUUGAGGAUUCUUCUGGGUGUGUUUUUGAAAGAAGAUCAAAUCUUAGGUUCUUACAUAUUGUAAAAGUAUCCAACUCUUUUGCAACCAACCAACAUACAAAAUGUUAGGUUCUUACAAAAUAGAGCAUCUCAAGUUUAUUAAAUUGAAGUGUUUCGGCGUAAUUUCAAUAUAACAGAACAACAAUGUUACGCCGAUUGAAACAGUAGAGUGAAGAAGAACAAAAGUAAAAGGCACUGCUGCAUAAGUUGGCAACUUGAGCAACACAAUCCACCUAUCAUCUUAUUAGCAGAAUCAGUUCCUGGGCUUCAGCAUCCAUUGCCUGUGUGUUCUUCUUCCAUUAGACCGUCGCUGACCGGCACUUUCGUCCAAUCAUGCUUGUGUAGAAGCCCUUCGACGAAAGACUCGAGGCUAUUAAACGAAGAACCGCCCUCUUCAAUCGCUCUCCGAGAAGCCUCCUUUAGCCUGAGAGCAUUGUUCCUCAGUUCGUUCCCUUCGUUUCCAUCCAAAUCCAUCAACCUCCUCACCACCGUCGCGAUCUCUUCUCUCGGAAUGACACCGUCCUCCCCCGUCUUCUCCGUCAAACUCAGUCCUACUUUCCACUCACUCACCAUAAGUCGGCUGUCGGGCAGUUGAUCCCAAGAUAUAGGAAGCGUGAUCGUCGGAACCCCCAUAAACAAUGCCUCGAGGGUCGAGUUCCAUCCACAAUGAGUCAAAAAGCCGCCAACAGAAGGAUGAUUCAGAACCUUCAACUGCUCACACCAGGGCACGACUAGACCUGCGUCUCCAACCGUUUCUUGGAUCCGAGGAGAGUCGUCUCGCGCGACCCACAAGAAUUUGAUCUUGCUAGCAACCAGGCCCAGUGCAAGCUCAUCAAGUUGAGAUGUCGACACCGAGAGGAAGCUACCGAGUGAUACAUAAAGUAUGGCGCUUUCAGGUUGAGAGUCCAACCACGUGAAGUAGUUUGCAGUAGCACAACCGUUUUGCGAUGCGGCAUUAUCUUUAGAUUCUCGAUCGAGCAACAUGUAAGGAAUGCAGGGACCGAUUGCGAAGAUAGGAUAUUGGAGCUCUUCUCUUAGUAGAUCAAUCACCUUUGAUUCAAUCUCAUAGAAGGAGGUGAAGAGGAGACAUUGAGCUUUCCGCGACGACGAGAUCGCCUCGAAGGCACGUUCCAGUGUUCCAUAGGAAAACAUGUGUCUGACAUCACUCAAUCUCAUUGAUGUCAGACCAGGUAUGUAUUGCUCCAAAGAUUGGUCAUCAAUUUCUGCAGAAAAUUUUUUAAAAAAAUUGAUAAAGAACAAGAGAUUCAAUCAAUCAUGUGGCUGCAUAUUGUAUGUAUUAUGCUUCAGAUAGUAAAAAAAAAAAAAGAACAAGAAAUAUGAACAAAAGGGACUAAAAUUUAGUCGCCACAAACCUAAACGGUACUAAGGUUACACCCAUUUACACAUUUUGCAACAUUUUACUGACAUGAAUGCUGUUGGAAUUAGAGAGCAGCGAAAACUUACAAAUUGUAUAGUUAACGUAUUCAGGAACCGAAAUCGGAUCGAAUUGCUUAAUACAAUUCACGAAAUGAAUUGUUUAGUUCAUAAGACAAAUAAUAAUUAUAACAAACAAGACAAGUAAUUAAAAACUACGACAUUAGCAUGAGUAACAUAUUGGAGAACUUCGUACGUGAGCAAAACAUUUUCCCACUAAGCACUUUUAUGUGUCUUAACGCAUGCGAAAUUAUUGCUUCCACCACCACACCCCACUUUUUUAAACAUUACAACAAAGGCCUUAAAAUCAAAAUCUAAUUCAUUAUGUGUACUGUAGAAUAUUUGAAAGGCCUAUGUACCCAAAAUCACAUUUUGAGCACUGAUAUAAAUAAGUUGUUUAUACACGCACUUUAAGAGUUCUAUCAUAAAUUUGCCAGCACAACAAUAUUGUUUAAAUAAUUUUUCAGCUUGAAAAGUAUUUUCAAUUAUUUGAUUUUAAAAAAAAAUAGUUUUCUGAAAUUUUUUCGCUAAACUUCAUGAAAAUGUAGUGUUUUGUUUUCUGAAAUUUUAUUUUAUUUUAUCUUUUAUUUUUUUUGAGAGAAAGAUAGCAUGCUACCCGCUUCGUUUAUUUCAUUUAUAAAUAAACUUAGCUGGAAACGUGAAUCAACUAGGAUUCGAACUUGGGUCUCGGGUAACAACCAUCGAACCCUUUUGCCACUUGCGCUAGGGAUGGUCAGUUUUUCUGAAAUUUUAUUGGUGUGAAACAAAAAGGCUGUGUUUCAUGAAAAGAUUUUUCUUUUAAUUUAAAAAAAAUAUAUUUUUUAACGCUUCCUUUGAGUAACCAAACACCUAAUUAGGGGUGUAAAACGGGCGGGGCGGUCCACGGCACGGCUUCGGGUCGGGCUCCAACAGGUACAGCUGCUGUAGCAGCCGUGCCGGCCCGGCCCGGCCUGAGCUUUCAGGCAGUGCUGGGCCGUUCCGUCUCAGGCACGACGCCCUGGCACGGCACGGUCCGAACAAGCCGAAGAGAGGCGGGCGGCCGGGCAUGGCACGGCUCGCUUGGGCCGUGCCAGCCGGGCCAGCACGGCCCGGAUCCCAAGGCCCAAGGCCAAAAAAUUUUGGUCGAUUGGACCGAAAGCUUAAUUUUUUUUUAAAUAAUAAUAAAAAUUUAUAUGUUUUUUUUCAAAAUAAAAAAUUUAUUUUUUUAAUCAAAAUACUAAUUUAAAUAAAAAAUAAUUUAUUUAUUAUUAUUUUUUAAAUUUACAUGUUCUUAAAAAAUUAAAGGGUCGGCCCGGAGCACGGCCCGUGACUUCCGGGCCAGAGUGCUGUGCUGGGCCGGGAACUGGUUAGCUCUGGCCGGCCACGGCCCGGUCCGGAUGUGAUAAUGAUCCGGGCCGGACCGGGCCCGACUAAUGUGGGCCAUGCCGGCCCCACACCUAAUCAUCAAAUAUUUAAUACGCAUACACCAGGCGCACGCAUGAGGUGUACGCAUACACCAGGCGCACGCAAUGUUUUCACACAUAAUGAUGGGACAAACCCCGCGUGCGCAAUCCGUGGUCCCGGGAUUCGGACUUGCACGUGCAAUGACAGGGUCUCACGUGACAGGUUCAGUAGCACGUGCCUCGCACGUGCAUCCAGUCAAACACUAAUUACGGGUCAAACAAGUACAAACUAGUCUCGUUCGACGAGAAGUUUGGCAAAGAAACAAAAUUUCUCCGGAAAAAUUCAAAAAAUAAAUUUUUUUUAUCUAAUAUUUUACUAAAACAUUGAAAAAAAAAAAAUCAAUAUUGUGACCUGUGACGUGUGAUCGUAGGAGCACUAACAAAUUAAUUUAUGAAGUUUGUGUGCCUCUCACUUUUAAAGAUUGUAAUUUUAAUAAAAAGAUAAAAGUAAAAUAUAUUAAAAGUCUCUAUUUUACUACAUAUCUCAUUUUAAUAAAAAAUAAUAAUAAUAAGUCUGCAAUCAAAAAAUAAUUACUAGCCUUUUAGAAUGUGUUCCGUCAGAUAUAAAAUAUACUAAAAAUUAUUUUACAUAUUUAAAAAAUAGAGCGUUUUCGUUUUUUAUUUAUUUUCAACGAUAAUGAAAACUUGAACAACCUAAAAUUUUUUUCUUUUAUUUUUUUUCUCCAUCGCAUCAAAUAAAUAUAUAUUUUUUUGCAAUCAAACAAAUAUUUCAUAAAGUACUUUUUUUUUUUUAUAAAUUAAACACUAUAAAAGAAAUGAUUGUAAAGAUUUAAUAAUUUUUUUGGUUGUUGUAAAAAAAAAAGUAAAAGUAGAAGCUUUGUAAAAAAAAAAAAAAAAGAUUCUUAAAUUAAAGAAGUCACAAAACUACAGUCUAGUCUAAGAAUAGAAUGUAGACAUAGCAUUUUUAUUAAAAUGCCAUUUUUUUUNAAUAGGCUUAGGCUUUGAAUUAAAUGAGAGAAAAUUAAUAUAUUAGAAACUUGAUGUGACUCAAACUAAGAAUUUCUAUGUGAAAUAACUGUUAUAAUCUAAAUAAUCUAAAAGCUUAAACUGUUAAAAAAUAAUAUUUUAAAUAUUUUUAUAAAAAUAUUUCAAAUACCACCCCUAUGGUUUCAUAAUUUUUUACUUUACUAUCCUAUGAUUUAAAGUGUAUCAAUUUAGUACCCUGUUAUUUUUUUUUAAUCUUUUUAUUAUUAAUUUUACUAAUUUUUUUCAUUAACUCAGUGAUAAAGUUAAAACCAAAAGGUACUAAAUUGAACAUUUGAUAAAUCUAGGUGGCGUAUCUGAUGUUUUUUAUAUAUAAUUUAAUAAAAUAUUAACAGAAAAUUUGAGGAAAAGAUAAAAUGAAACCAUAGAAUACUAACGUGAUACACUUUAAAUCACAUGAUACUAAAAUAAAAAAGUGCGAAACUAUAAGGGUGGCAUCUGAAGUCUAUCCUAUUUUAAUAUUUAAAUAUAUAUUUUUUUAUUUUUCACAAAUAGAAUAGUUUGCUGGUGGGCNUUUUUUUUUUUUAUAAAUAAAAUAGUUUGCUGAUGACCCGUCACACAAGCACACAAGCACGGACACGCACCUAUUGUGGUCGUCGUUGUUGUUGUGGGGGUGGGGAGGCGGCGGAGGUGGGCGAGGAGGGCGAAGAAGGUGGCAGCCAUGGGGAAGAGGGAGCAGAGGGGGAUGCGGCGGCGGGCGGCGAGCGGGACGGCCCAAGGGAGGUAGGUGUCGGCGAGGACGGCGGCUGGGGGGGGGUCGAGGCGGUCGAGGAGGUCGGCGACGGGGGAGUCCAUCUUCGUGUAGACGGCCUCGAUGAAGCCGUCGAAGUCGGCGGCGCGGCCGCGCUCGGAGGGGAUGACGUUGGGGAUGGUGGCGAUGCAAAGCCCCACCGGGAGCUGAGGCUGAGAGUGUCGGGCGGAGUCGGAGUCGGAAAAGAGAAGGGCGCGCCACUCCUCGGUGAGGACGAGGGUGACGAGGAUGCGGGAGGAGGAGGGGGAGGUGAGGAGGAGGCGGGAGAGGUUGAGCAUGGCGUUGAUGUGGCCACGCCCCGGGUACGGGACGGCGACCACGUGGCAGCAGGACGGGGGAUCCAUCAAUCUAUCUAUCUAUCUAUCUAUCUAUCUCCUCCCCGUUGAUUAUUUGGACGGUGAGUGAUGCAAUCCCAAGAUAAAUAACUACUUGGGGCACUUCCCCGGAGACCAGCGUUGGAGAAGAAAUGGUGGGUGAGUGAACUGAUUGGGACGUGCACUCCCUUUUUUUUUCUAAAAAAAAAAUAAAAAAAUAAAAAAAUGUGAGCGUCACAUGAUUGAUACAAUAUUUUUAAGCGGUGAUUAACCGAGUAUAAAUAAAAAAACUUCAAAUAUCAUCCUUAUAGUUUCACAUUUUCUCGCUUUAGUAUUUUAUAAUUUAAAAUAUAUAUAUUACUUUUGUAGCAUGUGGUUUUAAUUUUUUUUUCUUUUUGUUAUCACCUCCAUUAAUUUUUUUCGUUAAAUCAGUGAUAAAGUUAAAACUAAAGGGUACUAAAGUGAAUAUUCGAUAAACUAUAGGUGGGAUAUUUGAAAUUUUUUGUAUAUGAUUUAACGAAAAGGUAACAAAGGGACUGACGAAAAAAAAAAAAAAUACUAUAAGAUACUGAAUUGAUAUACUUUAAACCAUAGGAUAGUAAAGUGAGAAAGUGCGAAACCACAUGGAUGAUAUUUGAAGUUUACCUCCAUAAAUAAUAUAGUGUAACUGUUAUAAUAUAGCUUAAAGUAUAUCAAUUUAAUUAGUACCUGUGAUUUUAUUUUUUUCUUUUCGUCAGCUCCUCCGUUAACAUUUCGUUAAAUUAUAAAUUAUAUACAAAAAAACUUUAGAUAUCCUAUCUAGACUUAUCGAAUAUUUACUUUAGUAUAUUUUAGUUUUAACUUUGUAACUGAUUUAACAAAAAAAAAAUAAUAAAGAGGAUAAGAAAAAUAAAUAAAUAAAAUUACGGAAUACUAAAUUAAUAUAUUUUAAACCAUAAGUACUAAAAAAAAUAAAAUUAUAAAUUAAUACACUUUAAACUAUAAGAUGCAAAAAUAAAAAAAACCUAUGAGAAUGGUAUUUAGAAUAUUUCCCAAAUUUUAUUUUUUUUUAGUGUGCCACUGAAAAGAUAAUGUGUCCUAUAAAAAGGAGAUAUUAUUGCGUGCAUGGAAUGUAUUAUUUACAUGUUCCAUCAUUGGCUCCACCAUUAAUAAAAUAAUAAAAAUUUAUAAAUGCACUAUAACUUAAAUUACAAUUUUAAAGACAGUAACAUUAAUUUUUGAACUUUCAUGUUUAAUAUUGAAUUGACAAUUUAAAUUGAAAUAUUUACUCGUUUAAAUAUAAAUUUUUCUUUCUAAAAUUUAAAUUUAAUUUAUACAAUUAUAAAUAUAAAGUUUAAACUCAAGUUAAAUUUUAAAUUUAAAUUUAUAAAGAUUUAUCACUUAUGAAAUUAACCAUUAUCUAAAUUGGUAAGUAACAAAAUUAAAUUAGGAAAUAAAGAUUUGUUAGAUAUUAUCAAAUUUGGUAAUUAGCUAAUGCAUAGUUUCAAAUAUUAUCUUUAUGAUUGAUUGGUAACCUGUUGAGCAGGUUACCAUUAUGUAAAAGUCAAUCUUAACCUCAAAAAUUGAAUGGUCGGAUUUAAAUUGGCCGGUGUAUAGAAGUAUUUCUCAAUUUAUUAGCUCCAUCGUCGUUCAUAGUGCAGUACGUAUGAACCUUGAAAUUUUUCGAGCCAAAUUUAGGCUCAACGUAUCGGUCCUCACUGUUGGAGGCGGCGAGAAAAAAAAAUGCUACUUACACAUUCAAAAAUAAAGUAAAUUUUAUAUUCACUCGUUCUAAAAUUUAAACCCUCUUUUUUAAUUUUCAUUAUUAAAAAAAAUUAAUAAUAAUAAAGUAUAAAGAUAUAGGUUCUUGAAUGAAUUGAAUGUACGAUUUUGCACCUAUUUUUUGAAUGUGCUAGCAGCAUUGAUCGAAAAAAGAAAAAAAAAUUUUUUUUUUUUUUUUUUUUUUUACUUUUCAAGCAAUGCUAUAUGUACACCCAAAAAAUGGGCGUAAAUCUAAUAUUUUUUCGUUGGUCUUUUUAAUCUUUUGUUAUAAUAUUAAAGAUAUAAACAGAGUUUUAAACUUUUUUUAAAAAUUUUUAAAUGAGUGUGUAUAAGAUUUACACCCUAUCUUUGCGCGUAUAAGAAGCAGUUUUCUUUCUUUUCAGCUUUAAGCAGCUUGAUCUAUGUAAAUGGAUUUAGAGUUGUCACAAAAAAUAAGGAAAGAGUAGUUCAAACAGGUGUAACUUUGUGCUUAUCACUUAUUCAAAAUUUGCAGCUACAAAUUUGAGGAACAUUAGAGCAUAUAUAUGCCCUCAAUUUAUCUAUUAGCUUGAUCAUGUACUACAAAAGCUUCGAAACUAUUAUUUUUCCUUCAUUAUUUGAAUUAUUCAUAGUGUUAUUUUGCACCUAAUAUUGAAGAACCAAGCAAAUCUAACCUAAUCUAAGGAGUGAGAAAUUUGCCUCAACAUCUUAGCAUGCUCCUCCAGUAAGGUAACAAACACAUCUAUCCCCCCAUCCUCACCAAACCCAGGUAGAACCAUCACCAGCCCUUCAAACGGCACCCACGUCGGCAAAAACGCGCGCAGCGCGCCUCCGCCGCCGAAGUCGACGUCUUCGAAUCGAAACCUGAGCCAGCUAUCAACUUCGAGCAUCGGCGACAGCACGUUCCCGUCAACGUCGUACACCGGCACGAGUUCCUCGUCCCCGUACAGCUCCCCGAAGUCGAUGAACGAUUGGAUGUACCGAUCAUCGACUCUACGUAUUGCUUCGUGGAUCAUCAUCGCCGCACCCGGUAGGCCUUCGUCAAUGAGGUCCUUUGCGGUUGCUUGCGGGUACGCAUUGAGGACCAAGUUGCCGAAGAACUCGUUCGGUACCGGAGGUUUUAGUCUUGUUCUACCGUUUACGGAAACCCUGACCAUAGUUUGCACCCGAUCUUCGAGCCGACGGGCGACCGUUAUCUUCCGCCAUAGGUGGCCGAUCAGAGUCUCGAAUGUGGUGUACUUUCCUUCGGCCUUUCGACGCAGCUUUUGAAUGAAAUCGGCAGAGUAUCGGAUCAACAUGUUGGUUAUUUCACUUGGGUCGACGUCGAUUUGGUUUACCGAGGAACUGUUCAGUGGCGUGAACUCGAGACCCCAGUGGUUGAACUCGCAAUGCGGCGGGCAGCGUGGCUUGAGCCAGGACUGGUCAUAGACGGGCGGACGGUCGACGAAUGCCCCACGCACGGUUUGUGCCCACGCGGUGAAAAAGAUGCUCAUCGACUGGCCGUCGGCGACCCUGUGGUGUGCGGUGGCGCCGAUUAUCAGCCCGCCGCAAGCGAACCGGUUGAGCUGGACCUGAAACACAUGGACAGCGCUGGCGGGGGAAGGGUGCAGUAGCUGAAAAUCCGGCGACACCUCGAGGGGCAAAUGGUCCGAUAAGUUUGAGGACGCCGCAGCCUCCACCACCAGCGCACCGCCACCACAGCCGCCGACAAUAAGGCACGGGCGGCGGAGACGGCGGCUGUAGUCGAGCCGGCCUGCGAGGGUAGGGAAGAGCAACAAGGUCUUGGAUAACCCGGCGAUCAGUGCGUCAUUGGGCGGGGUCGGAGGGGAGAAGGCGAAGAGGACGGCGAUGUAGAUGUUGGAGGCGAAGCGGUCGAAGACGGUGAGGGGCGCUUCCGAGGGUGCGGAAUUCGGAUUGCUGGGGCGUAAAACGCGGGAACUCAGUAUAUGGACAUCCAUGUUGGUUGAGGCACCGUGAAGGAGAGAACAAGGGGACAAAUUUAUACAAGAAAUAGAACCGAGUAAAGUCCAGGCCAGGGAGAGGAUAACUCUGCAUGCUAACAUCUAGAAACUGGGUAUUUAUUGUUCAUGGGAAGCUCCAAAAAUAGCAGUAGGUUUGGACUUUGGAGAAAUCCAAGAGGGAGGAAGCUAUAUCUGUUGCAGUUUUGGCUUUGUUGUGUUGCAAGCGCAGUAAAGUUUGAACAAGAAAGUGUAUUCUUGCUCCCUGGAAGGGAUUUUGGAUGGGCACAAAAUAAGUCAACCUAGAUGCAACUGGUAUUAAUUAUUUUUUUGUCAUCCAAAGAUCGAUCUAGUGAGAAACGAUUCAACAUGUAUCACGGUGAGUGUUAAAUGCACCAAGCCUCAGAGAAAUUGAACUCGAGAACCUUUGGAACACUGAUGCUGCCGUAUUACCCAAAAAAUCGAUCUAGUAAAAAAUAACUCCUCUAUCUUAACACUUCUAUGCACUAGCAAGAGAAACAGAGAAAGAAUAUUGCUUAGGGAAGUAUCAACACUGUUUGACUUUACAAAUCUCCUCAACAUUAAGAAUUCGAAACUUAAGUGACUUCAUUUAGGUGUGUUGCUUGUGAGUGCUCAUCAUACACAGCAUUACAGGUUAAACAGUAGACAAAUCCAAAAGUUUUGUUUGAUUUGUCGUAGUUCUAAGCAGAUGUUGCAGUUGGACCUGCAGAUGAAGUGUUCUUUUUCCGGGCGUUCCGAACACGAACUGACCGACAAAUAUGCCCAAUGCAAGAGCCCAAAACAAAAGAUAGAUCGGCAAGUCAAUAGCAUCUAUCUUACAUGAGAAAGAUGCGUGUGUGAUCAAGCAACAUUUUAUACACAUUACUCAAAUUGAUGUGACCCUAAGUACUCCCUGUAGAUCUAAAUUUGGUUAAUCAGCUCUUAUUCUAGAGUUCUUAACUUUUAACAACGCAUACUACGGCAUCUAACAGAUGAACAUAAAAGAGACUAAUGUCAAACAUUCUCUUGGUUCCACCUAUUCAAUUAUGUUGUAAACAUGGCUGCAUACAACAUCUAUAACCAGCGGAAGCGAAAGCAGUAGAUUCAUUCAAUAUACUAGGCUCUUUUCAAUUGCUUAUAACAAUGCAAACACAAAUAGAAAUAUCAAAAAUAUGUUUUCAUCAAAUAGUGUCAUGAAAACAUAGAAUACACGCGCUACAGAAGUUACCCAAUCAGAGUCUAUCUGCAUAUAUCAGAUUCUUACUACAGAAUACUUGAAUGAGAAGGUACUGAUUUCGACAAGCUAGAAUGUCUCUUCCUAACAACAAUGAACCCGGAACGAGUAGCAAUAGCUGGAAUACCUGCUAGCAAUUCUGAGGAUGCCCAAAGCUCAGAAGUUGCUGAUAAAAUGGUGCCUGCACAAGCCAAAAACAGUACCCAUUAAAAGUCAAAGCAGCAGGAAUGAAAAGGUUUUUUCCGGCAGGAUGAAGUGAGGGAGCAUCAAAAGUCAAAACCUACCUGAAGCUGUGCGAGUCUCAACUGCUCGUAGGAGUUUGCGUAUAUCAUAGCUGGGUUAGGCCAUUGAAAGUAGACAGGAUCCUUAGAUGUACUCUCACUUUGUCCAAAAGCCGCACAAUAAGGGUUCAUAGCUGAGUGAGGAAGGUUGUAGCUCAUGGGGGUUUGGUUCCUCGGCAAGUGUCCAAAUUGAGAGAUCCUCGCAUCGAACUGUGGAAGUGGGGGCUGAACCAUAGUGCAUGCCCCCAAACUGAAACUCUGGUUGUGCAUGAGACCUCUAACAUACCUGAAAAUAUUUUGAGCAGUUUUCUGUAAUCAUGACUGAGAUAUUGGACUAGUACAUGUGACACAUAAGAAUAAAAAGCGCUUAGGAAGCGUUUGGUAGGGGGAUAAAUAUCCUUACAUUUCCACAAUAGGAUAUGGGAACCAUUUAUAUCCUUACCUAGAAUUAGGUAGGUCAAAAUAAUUCCAGGGCAGUCUGAUCCUGGGUGACAGCAAGUUCCAUGUGGAAUUGGAUAUCCCCAGAAGCAGACCAGUAUCCAAGUAACUCUGCUAUCCCCUAACAAACACAAUGGGGAUAACACCAAAAACAAUAGUUCUCCUGAAGGAUAUUUUUCAUAUCAGAAACCCCACCAACCAAACAAGUCGUUAGUAAUCGCGCAGGGAUACAUUACCUAUCAUAGCUGCGGUCAUAAUCUGGAUCACUCCGGUCCUUUUCCCUGUCUUUGAAAAUUGCAACCCUGGACCCACCUUCCUUAGUGAACUUUUCAAUAUCAUCGGUGACCUUAGUGCAUUCCUGCUCAUCUCUGUUGGUAAAAAGGCCUCUUCCUUCAGCUAAAACAGGUGAAGAUGACCCUUCCUCUACAGGACUAUUAGAGCCACUAAAGAUACGUGCCCGAGCCUUAUCAUAUUCCUCCUUCCGCUCUUCUACAGUUCGGAGUCCACUUUUAUUAUAAAGCUCGGCUGCAUUUUGCGAGGAAGCACUUCUUGGCCUUGGACGAAUUGCAAUCUUGAUUUUCUCUGCAAUCUCCUUCUCGGGCUGUUGGGCAGAAACUUCUGACAAGCAGAUGGCAGGGAACUUACUAUCAAGUGUCUUCCUUGCCAUUACCCUACUCCCUGAACCAUCUGUAGUGUUGUCCAGGGACAUGGUCUGUAGCCCGUAAUGCUGAGCCACACGAUGGGCACAGCGCCUAAGAUAUGAUGUCGCAAAGUGCGGGAAUUCAAAUUGGUAGAGGUCGGGGUUCUUCAUGAAUCUCUGAAUGUCCAUCUCCAUCCGUAGUACUGCAGUAGGAAUAGGUAUACAUAAGGCAACCACUUCUGAAAAAACACUUCACAUGGUCUAAGGUCGAGUUGAUUAUAGGUACUCGCAUAAUAUUAUACUUUGGAGCAAAUAAUAAACAGAACUAUAUUAAAUAUUGCUACAGUUCAAAAACACUUCUACGGCCAUUAAUAUUUCUUCUCACAAGUAUGAAAUUCUUCAAACAACAAAUUUUUGUGGGACUCUGAUUUCAACAGUUUCCUACGAUGCUAUAGAAUUCACUAUUAGUAAUGUCGCAUUUUUGAACAAUAAAUCCUAUCUUGAUUUCAACUCAUCAUCUACUUAAUCUUAAUUAGUUGAAAUGGGGAAGGCAGAAGGAUUGAGGUGAGUGCCAAUUGAGCAUCCUUCACCAAUAUGCUUUGCCAACCCUCUUGGUAAAGCAGAUCAAUGUUUGAACAAAAUAAAUUAUUGCUCGUCAAGAGAAUUCAGAACUUCCUGGAUAUUCAUACAAUAAGUUCACCAAGCACCUUAUUCCAGUUAAAUUCCAACCGUGAUACAGCUCUACUAAGUUCAAAGCCAAGAGAUUUCUUCUCAAAUGACAGAGAAUUUGUAUUUGUAUCACCUCUAGUUGAGAAGAAUCUGUUCGUGAAUCACACACCAACAACCAGACACAAUGAAGCGCAUCUAUCUAGAAAAAUAUAUCUCAAGUGUGAUGAUUUCAAAGAAUAGCUGAUUACUGAUGCAUAUUCAAAGAAAUUAUUAUAAUCUAGUCACACAAAAUUCCCUAUGAAUCAGAGAUAAGGAAAUAAACUAGCACCAAUCAAGCACAAUUCAUAUGAUUAUUCAGUAAACAACUUUCCAAAAGAAAACACAAUUCUCAAAUAAAUAGCUGAAACUAUUCAUUACCAUAUACAAGACAAAUAGAUUUCCAUGCAGAUGCAGAUAUCACAUUUCUAGAAGUGGCAAUUAUUUCCCUUUUCCAACUUUAGAAUGCUGCGUGUUAAUUCCCGUAAGAAGGUAGAGUUGAAAAAUUAAAAACAACCAAAUCAAGAAUCAAAUAUACCCUAAAUUUCCCAAUAAUUAGUAAUAAUACAACAAACCCUAGAAACCAAGCGCGUAACAACCAAGUUAAGCAAUAAAGGAGUCAAUUUGAAACCCUAAUCCUACAAUUAACCACCCAAACUGCCAUAUGAGAGCCCACCAACACGAAUUCCCCCAAAAAUCGCACAAUUCUCACAACCAUAAACAAAAGAUCCCACAAAUCCCCACGAAAUCCCCACAAAACUCACACAAGCGAAUACGAUAAAGAAUCGAAAGCACACGCACCAGUGACCCGAUGCCUAGGGUUUCCAAGCGCCUCGACGAGGAACGGAUCCACGGGGACGGGCAUCCCCUCCCUCCCCUUUUCCUCCUCCGCCGCCGCCGCCGCUGCGGAGCAACUCGCGGGGGACUCCAUCUCCUUCCCCUCCGCCAUUAGAGUGCGACAGAGAAGAUGCCGAGGAGUAGUAGGAGGAGGAGGAGGGAGACGAAGACUCCGACCCUCUUCCUCUUCGUCGUCCCUCUCUCUCUAAUCUCUUUGUGAGGCGAAUAAAAGAAGAGAAAGCAAGUCGACUCGUCCCCCUUAUCUUUAAAGCGGAGGAACACGACGACGCAUCGAGAUUAAAAAAUAAAAAAAAACCAUAAUAAAAAAAUAUUUUUCUGUUUUCAUUAGGAUUCGGUGGGAUGAUCUCGACCGUCCGAUGGAAAUCAGUGGAGUUCGCACUAAAUUGCGAUUUGGAUCUGGAUCUGAGUGGGAAAGCGUUUUCCGGCUACGAAAUCAGUUCGUGGACCGCGUGUACGUCGUACACGUUUAUGGACCGGCAUCGACAUUUGCUCCUCCUAACCGUACAUCCUUCAUCUAAAGGCCAAAAUUCUACAAACAUAUAUAUAAUAUAAUAUAGAAUAUAAUGUACGAACCAUAUAUGUCAUAUUUAAUUAAAUUAAAUUUAAAUAAUUAUUGAUGAUAUAAGUUUGUUUGUCAAUUAAAUUACUUUCUAACUAUAAUUUGUUAGCAAGUAAGUUUCAUACUUAUACUGUAAAAUAAGUAUAAAUCCAGAAGAAAUAACGAUGACAUUUUUUUUUGUAAAUAGCAUAAUAAAAAUGAUUAGAACAUGUAAUAACUAUAUUUUUUUUCAAAAAUUUAUAAAGUCAAAAAAUUUACUAUCUCAGUAUAAAAUUCAACAAUGUUAAAAAGUUAGUUGGAUAAAAAAUACAACUUAAUUUAGAGAAGCCAUAUGAAAGGUCAUAUGUAUUGCAUGCCUAGCAUUCCUCUAUUGUGAAGGGUAAAUUGCAUGUUUGGNACAACUUAAUUUAGAGAAGCCAUAUGAAAGGUCAUAUGUAUUGCAUGCCUAGCAUUCCUCUAUUCUAAAGGGUAAAUUGCAUGCUUGGCCCACUUUUUUUUUUCCAAAUUUUAAUUUAUUAUAAUUUCUAAUUUGAACUUUUAAAAUUAUUGUAAGUAACUCCUAUAAUUCAAUUUAGUUUAUUAAAUUUUAAUGCAUUAUUAAUAUAAAAUAAUAUGAUAUUUUUAAUUAUUUGUGCAUUAUUAAUUACAACACAACUACAUCACUUCUAUAUUAUCGAUAUAUCAAUAUUUAAUAAACUAAAUUAAGUUAUAAAAUUUAAUUGUAAUAAUUCUGAAGUUCGAAUAAAAAAUUUCACAAAUUAAAAUUUCGGGACCAAAUUAUCACACACGUUGUAGUGUAGGGACCAAACGUCCAAUUUAUCCAACUAUGAAUUAUUGAAUUUUGGUUGGUUUUUAGCCGUUCUAAGAGUGCACCGUGCACCAAGUGCAUGCAAUAAUUUCUUUUUUGAGUUGCCCAAUUUAGAAACAUCUGGAUGGGGCGAAAAGUUGCAUCUGACGAUUUUUUUUUUUUUGCCCCUUUUUUCCUAACAUUAAUUAACUGAUGUGUCGGGGUUUAUGCGCACGCGGUAAAUAAACGAUAAUCAGGGGGUCUAAUAAUACCUGAUAUAGAAAAUUCUAAAUGAUGCGAUGAAUGCUAAAUUAACUGUUACAGAGGACUACUAUUAUUAUUAGCAAUAAUAAGACUUAAUUGUGGUGUUCUAGUCAAAGAAUAGUUUACCAAAGUAAGAGAAUUACAACUCGAGAAGAAUUUGACAAUUAAUAUUAAUGAUAAUAAUAUAAGAUCUAGUUUAAAUAGUUUGGUAAAUUAUCUACAUUCCCCCGUGCUUAAAUCUUAAAAUUUUAUCCUAGUCAAAUCUCUGUCCCUAGAAUACAUGGGACAACUAGGGACCGUUUGGUUCCUUGCAGUUGUAACUGCACAAUAAUUAUAACUAUAUAUAAAUACAAAUUUAAUAUUUAAUUUGAUGUAUUUAACUCUAACGGCUGCAGAAGAAGAUUCAACUGCAGCAGUUGAAACUACGCUCAAAUUGUCCGUAAUUUCAACUGCAGAGUCAGAAAAAGUAAUCUUUAACAAAAGGUAAAAGAUAAGCUUACCUCCUUAAUUAUUUUUUAAACAAAAAAUAAAUUUUCAUCUAUACUAAUCUAUGAAUCCCCAAUAUCUUGCUGACAUGGCAUUACCUCCUUCUUUCAAAACUCCUUCCUUUCAUCUCCCAACCUCCAAAACCUCUCAUCUUCCAAAACCGUUCCCUCCUCAUCUCCCAAUAAAACCACAAUUAAAUGCAUAUAAUUGCACCAAAACUAUUCCCUCUCAUCUCCCAAACUCCAAAACUCCUCAUCUUCCAAAACCGUUUCCUCCUCAUCUUCUAAUAAAACCACAAUUGAAUGCAUGUACUUCAACAAAAUUUUGUAGAGUUAUUGACCUUCCACCUGUUGAAUUGAGAGCGCAAUAGAAUAGAAGGUUCGAUUCCUUAUAGCUCUACUUCUAGCAGUAGUUUCUUUUUUCAUUUUUCACAUUUAAUUUGUUGUUCGCUUGGAGCUUAGGAAAGCAUUUUUGGGUGUUUUUUUUUUUAUUUUUGGCAUAUUUUAUGUUUUUUUUAAUUCGUUCUAAUUUCUCGAAAAGUUCCCUUUUGUUUCAGAAAGAUGAUUUUUUUUUGUCUUGAAUGUUUAGAAUAUUUUUCCCAAUAUUAUUAUGACGAUUUUUUCUCCCUUUUUUGAGAAGCUUAUUCAAGGGGCUUUUUAUUGUUGGUUUUAUUGUUGGUUUCUAUAUUUUUCCUCUUAAAUAUAAACCGACACUAAUAUGACACUGAUAAUAUUGGAUUAUUAUCAUAGUGUAUUAUACAAUAAUUAAAAUAUCGCGUCGAUGUAGUGUGUGUGUGUGUAUAUAUAUAUAUAUAUAUAUAUAUAAAUAUACUCUUCAUCUUAAUUACAAGACUCCUAUCAUCAUUUUUUAAAGAGUAUUCAUUUUCAGCCAUUUAUUUUUGUGUCCACUCGAUGGAUAAGAGAACAAUAUUGAAAAUAUAUGAAAUUUGAUUUCUAAACACUUCAAGUGGUAUAGAUCAUGCUCAGCGGNAGCCAUAUGAAAGGUCAUAUGUAUUGCAUGCCUAGCAUUCCUCUAUUGUGAAGGGUAAAUUGCAUGUUUGGCCCACCUUUUUUUUUUUUUUCCAAAUUUUAAUUUAUUAUAAUUUUUAAUUUGAACUUUUUAAAAUUAUUAUAAGUAACUCCUAUAAUUCAAUUUAGUUUAUUAAAUUUUAAUGCAUCAUUAAUAUAAAAAUAAUAUAAUAUUUUAAUUAUUUGUGCAUUAUUAAUUACAACACAACUAUAUCACUUUUACAUUAUCGAUAUAUCAAUAUUUAAUAAACUAAAUUGAGUUAUAAAAUUUAAUUGUAAUAAUUCUGAAGUUGGAAUAAAAAAUUAUCAUAAAUUAAAAUUUCAGGACCAAAUUAUCACACGCGUUGUAGUGUAAGGACCAAACGUCCAAUUUAUCCAACUAUGAAUUAUUGAAUUUUGGUUGGUUUUUAGCCGUUCUAAGAGUGCACCGUGCACCAAGUGCAUGCAAUAGUUUCUUUUUUGAGUUGCCCAAUUUAGAAACAUCUGGAUGGGGCGAAAAGUUGCAUCUGACGAAUUUUUUUUUUUAGCCCCUUUUUUUUCUAACAUUAAUUAACUGAUGUGUCGGGGUUUAUGCGCACGCGGUAAAUAAACGAUAAUCAGGGGGUUCUAACAAGUGUGAGGCUACUCUGCCAUCGAAAGGAUGGAGUCUUCCAUGCUUCUAGUUCGUUUUUGAUGUUGCGACUUUCGAAUCGUCGAUCGGCUCCGUAAAACUUGAUCUAGAGUAUUUAAAGUAUCUAGAAAAUAAAUUUUAUGAUUUUUUGAUAUCAUUUGUUUAGUGAUCGAAGGGGUUCAAAAUCAAUAAUUUUAAUGAUCGCAGUGAGCCGUUUGCAAGUUUAACGGUGUAGAAAAAUCCAAAUCACGUGAAAUUUUGAUAGAAAAUUCUUUAUGCUAUAUAAAACAAGAUUAAUAUCUUUGAUCUAAAAUUUUAAUGUCAUAUUAUCACGUUUUGUAAGAUUUUUAUUUUCAGCCGUUGAUUUUGAGCCCCUUCGUUCACUAGGCAAAUAAUAUCAAAAAAUUGCAUAAUUUAUUUUCUAGAUACUUCAAAUACUCUAGAUCAAGUUUAACAGAGCCGAUCGACGAUUCGAAAGUCGCAACAUCGAAAACGAGUUGGAAGCACAGAAGGCUCCGUGCUUCCGAUAGCAUAGUAGCCUUACUCUUCUAAUAAUACCUGAUAUAGAAAAUUCUAAAUGAUGCGAUGAGUGCUGAAUUAAUUGUUACAGAGGACUAUUAUUAUUAUUAGCAAUAAUAAGACUUAAUUGUGGUGUUCUAGUCAAAGAAUAGUUUACCAAAGUAAGAGAAUUACAACUCGAGAAGAAUUCGACAAUUAAUAUUAAUAAUAAUAAUAUAAGAUCUAGUUUAAAUAGUUUGGUAAAUUAUUUACAUUCCUCCGUGCUUAAAUCUUAAAAUUUUAUCCUAGUCAAAUCUCUGUCCCUAGACUACAUUGGAUAACUAGGGACCGUUUGGUUUCUUGUAGUUGUAACUGCACAAUAAUUAUAACUAUAUAUAAAUACAAAUUUAAUAUUUAAUUUGAUAUUUUUAACUCUAACGGCUACAGAAGGAGAUUCAACUGUAGCAGUUGAAACUACGCUCAAAUUAUCCGUAAUUUCAGCUGCAGAGUCACAAAGAGUAAUCUUUAACAAAAGAUAAAAGAUACGCUUACCUCCUUAAUUAUUUUUUAAACAAAAAAUAAAUUUUCAUAUAUAUAAAAUAAUAAAAUUUUAAAAACUAUUUCUUAACUAGAUGCAACAAAACAAAUUAUUUAUAGUUACAAUAUUUUCUACUAUAUCCAACUAAAUAAGAUGCAUGUAGCUGCAACUGCUAUAUUUCCAACUAUACUGCAUUUGUAAUUAUAACUAACUAAACGACCCCUAAGGUUUUUAAGGCCCAAAAAGUGAGAAGAAUCUUAGGCCUAAGAAGUGAGAAUAAGACGUUCCUCAUUCGUUUUCUUUUAUUUUUGGGGGUAAAAAAUUCUUACACAUCAGAUGAUCUAACCAUAUAAAAUAGGUGUGCUUAAUCGCGACCGUUGGAUUAUGGGCACACGCAAUCAGUUCCACCUUUUAUUAAUGGCAAAAUCACAUGGUGUAUAGUAAAUUAUCUUUAGUUUCUAAAUAGAUUAGUCUAGUCAUUCUACUAUAUAUAUAUAUAUAUAUAUUAGAAAAAAAUAAUAUGCUGUACAUUUCAUUCAUUCGGAAUAUAAACUUAGCUACGAGGCAACUGGGCCUCAGAGAAACCAAGAAAAACCAAAAGAGAAGGAAAAAGGGAAUAGGAACCUACAUUGAGUAGGGAAAAAAGCACACAGCAUUAUACAAUCUUCUAUUAAAGGAUUGCUUCCCACAAAUUUGGCACUUGAGUUGUUUUGAGAAGAACCAAAUUUUGUCUAAGAUUUUUGUAGGUAUUGUUUAUCAACCUUAACAAGAGGUAAUAGGAGGCUUUAUGAGGAGAAAAAUUACAAGCAGUGAUAAGAAAAGUAAGUGAAUGUAGAAGAAAUUAUGAAUGAUGGACCACCAGAUUUGAGAUCCAGAAAUGAGACAGAAAGAACAAUUUUGACUUGCGACAGACGGACCCGAGCAAAGCUCAGAGCCAUGUUUUUGGCCACAGUAAAAUUUGGUUAGCUCUGGUUAGCUCGGAGACGAUAGACCCCGGAACUUGCAAAGUUAUUGUAAACCUAAGCAUGGUUAAAAAAUGACUAGAUUAGCGCAAAUCAACCAAGGAAUCGAAAGCCUAGACUCUGACCCUGAUUUCUUCAAGCCUGGGUUUUACAAUUCGGCAUAUCUGGAAGUUUGGUAAAUGCCAAUUGGACUCGGCGAAACCUGGCCCUUGCAAUCUUUGCUUGGGUCUAGUUAUAAACAAGACAUGAGAGAAGAUAAAGCGCAAGCCAUUUAGCACACGCAUAUACCAUGUCAUUCAUAUUACAAACAUGUUUACCUUACUCUAAGAAUAUAUCAUAUGGUGUACAAUAAACUCUGAAUGUAUCAAAAAUUCACACUUCGAUUUACUCCAUUAGUAAAUCUAGAGGCUAAAUUGACAGGGUCCUCGGAAGCAGGUUGAUCAUGAAUGAAGCAAAAUGAGAUGGCUCUUCACACAGAAAGUGAAUAGAAAAUCAAUGAACUAGAUGGUAACAUUUCGAAGUCGAGCAGGUGAAUUUUCGAGCGACCUUCAUACAAAACUAUACAUAUAAAAACAUGAGCUCUUGUUACCUUUAUAGUGCUGUUGGAAGGUGUAAGCAAGCAGUUACACUUGGAAUGAAUCUAGAAUGGCUUUCAAAGUCUUCUGAGAAGACGCCCACUGCUUGUCGUUGGCACUCGCAACGAAUAGAAUAACUGUGUUUCCCUUAGCAGUAGCCUUUGCCAAGUUAUGAGAGCCCGUCGAGGCAAAUGGAGUCUCGAGCACAUAGGUGUAAUACUGUAAAUGCCGAUGGGAUUACAUUAGAAGCCGAAUACACUCUUUAAGACAUAAUAAUCAGCUGACUUGUUCAACAACCCACUUUGGCAGAUAUGCAAUCAAUCCAACAUGUUUUGUCAUUUUCAUUCUAAUGGUAUGUUUUAUCAUAUCUCUUUUCCCAAAAUUAAAAGGGACAAGUCAGUACUCAGUAAUGCUAAGAAUAUCGUACAUUUCAGAAUCAAAUCCUGCAUAUUACUAAAGUUAACAAGAAAAUGUAUGUCGAAAAAAGGACAUACUUGAAGUCUACUGCCUAAAAUAGACUAAUGUUCUCAUUAACUCAUUUACUCAUUUAUUGCUUUUUGGUCCACAUAUAGUUUGGUUCAAUAAUGAGCCAGCGUAAUACAGAUGUAGGAACAAAAUCCCCAACAUAAAUAACAAAUUUAGUUAUCUUUUGCUUUAUUAAAGUAAGUUCUAAGUUGGCCUGUUAUGUCAUACAGUUGAUAUAUUGGACACGACCAAAAGAGAAGAAAAUAUAGAAAUAACUGGAGCAAAACUUGCAAAUUAACGGUUUGAACAGCAUGAUCAUAAGAGAAAGAGAUCAGCAUAGUCGGAAAGAACAAUUACCGUUUGAUCACCACGUUUCUCGAUGGAAGUCUCAAGAAGCUCCUCAGAGUCGAGAGUAUUACCAGUGACAAACGGUCCAAGCGAAGCAAUAACCUUCUCAGGGCUUCCAAUGUCUUCGAUUUUUGCGUUGGGUUUGUUAGUUAAACGUAUUAACGGAGAAGCGACCACCUGAACCUUGCCUUGAUUUUCGUCUUCAAAUUUCACCUCAACCCACGGCUCAGCGCACUUCGGCUGACAAUAAUUGCCAGAUAGUAUGUUGGCAACUCUUGUUUGCUUCCAAGUAGGCGGGAGUACGAAUUCAUAAGGUUCCACAUUCCCUAGUAGACAAAGAUAACUGAAUUUUCUGAUGUAUACCAAAAGUAUAUAUAAAAACUAUAAGAACACGGUACUCUGAUCAAAGGUUUUCACCAUGAGGAGAGUAGAAGAUCAAUCUUAAGGUAGCUAAGAUAAGUUUGAAUCAGCUCUACAGCAUUAAACACGACGCUGACACCAUAUGCAUUAGAAUUGGGCACUUAGAUAGUUGGCUCCUCAUUUAACGGCCGGCCUGGCCCAGUUAUAGGAUUAAGGCGUAGUGCUGUUCGAUGAAUUGCUAUUUGACAAGAGCUCUCUCUCUGCUGGUUUCAAAAUCACACUUUUCGCUUUCGGUUACAGCAGAAUAUCCGGACUUUUCUAAUUGCCAAACAGUUUGUUUAAUGUAAGUACAGGACCAAACAGGCCCAAAUUAGGAUCUCAUUUCUACUUUCUGUGAAAGCAGAAGCUCCACAUUUGUAUGUUUGUCAGAUGCUAUGUGCUCUAGUGAGGACACUACUGCUGAAAGCAGAAGCAGCGGCAGGACCAGACAGUCACUAAGGUCUAGUUUGGUACCGUGGUGGCUAAAAUCACCAUUUUUAUACUAUAAACAGCCCCAAAAAAAUUCAAAAGCGCUUACAAUUUUUCAUUUUCGAAUGUUUUAGAAUUACGGUUGCAACCGCCACUAGAGAUGCAUGUAACAGCAAAGAGAAGAUUGAAUGCGCCUUUGAAAAUUUUGAACUCCCCAAUAUAAAAAUAGUGCUCUUGGCACCAACCAAAGCGGGCCUAAUCCAAAACAGUCCCAUUCCCGACAAAGCCCAAAAUUCUCCAGCAAGACAAGCUUUUGAUCAAUGGAUCAAACGAAACAGCAAAAGACGAUCGACUCAGAACCAAUUUACCGGCGCGAAGCGCGGGAGUAUCCCUCGGCGAGGCGCGGAACACGACGAAGCCGGGGUCCGAGGGGGAGGGGGGCAAAUACGCCCCGACCUCGACCUCGCGAGCCUCCGAAACCGAGGGCUCCAUCGCAACCAACGCGGACACCGCGAGCCCCCACGCAAAAUCCCUUCGCCGGGCGGUGGCGAUCGGCUCGAGGAGCGGCGGCGGCGGCGGAGAGGGUUCGGCGAAGGGCCUUCUAGGGUUUGAGGAGAUGGAGAAGGGUUCGGGGGUUGAGGAGGGGAGAGAAGGGGAGCGCGAAGAGGAGGAGGAGGAGGAGGAGGUGGUGGUGGGGACUGUGGUGGAUAAGAGGAGGGUGGGAAUUGGGGAAGGGGACGAGGUCGCCAUUGAUGGAGGGAGAAGAGAACUGAGAAGCGUGUUCAGAGUGGGGAGUUUACGGUUGCGCGCUCCCGCUCCCGCUCCCGCUCCUAUCCAAACAAAUAGGGUAGAAUGUACGGGUAGUCCCUAUACUAUUCUUCAAUCACAAUUUAGUACCUGAAUUUUUGCUGUACUCCACUUUUUUCGCUUUCGAAUUUGUUCUGUUCAUAUUUUUUUCACGAAUAAACUUACUUAAAAAAUUUGAAACAAAACUUCGAACUAAGGACUUCAAGUACAAACUGACACGUGGGGCCCACGUGUCAGCGUAAAUACCCAUUGAAAUACGUAUAGACCAUCGUAUACUCGUAUAAACGACCGUAUCCCCGACCGGAUAAGGUAUGCAAUCGACCCGACCCAACCCGACCCUCUCUUUUCUCUUUUUCGUAGCUGUUGAGCGGAGGGUCGAGGAGGAAGGAGAUGACAACAAUGGCGACGAUGCUCACCUCGUCCCCCGUUGCCUCUCUCUCGCUCCAAUCGGGGAGGAGAAGCUUCGGGUGCAGCUUCAAUCGGAGCCCCCUUUCCCUCUCUAGGGCUCCAAUGGCGCGUUCCUCUUCUUCGUCUUCUUCGUUGCUUCACUCCUCCUUCCUCUCCUUCCCCUCGGCCUCCCUCUCCUUCCCCUCUUCCUUCUCCGGUAAGCUUUCUCCUUAUUUUUUCUUAAUUUAAUGUUGUAGUAAUGUUCUUUGGUGAUUUUUUGAGUGUUUUGUAGUGGUUUUGAUGUUGUUGUGAGGUUUCUGCGAGAAACUAGUAGGAAAAAUGGGGUUGUUUUCGCCUUUCGUAGGGGUAUUUAUGAACGUUUCGUUCCGUAUAAAGUACUGUGUUCCAGUUGCUUUUGGAUGGAAUUCGAAGAACCAAAAAUGAGAGUUUGUAUUGGUUUUUAUCAAAUUGUUACAAAUGAUGAAAUUUGGCUUCAGCUUAUUCCACCCUCCUCUUUUUUUUUUUUCUCAUUUUAUGUUAUGGUUGAUCCUUUUUUGGCGAUUUGAAGAGCAUUUGAUGGUGGUUUGAUGUUCUUGUGGGUUUUGUGGGAGAACCAAGCAGGAAAAAUCGGGCCUUUUUACCUUUUUUUUCGUUUGUAAAUGAACGUUUCCUUUCAUAUGAAAUUGUGAGUUGUAAUUUCUUUUUAGUUAGUUGGAAUUUGAGGAACCAAAUCUAAAUUGGAGCUUUAUGUUCCAAAAGUUGCAGAGCUUUUAGUAGUUUAUUUCACUUUUUUUUGACAAAAACUGUGUUUUUCUCUCAUAUAGUUACCAAUAAUGAACUUGUUGUCGUGCUUAGGUAUCUUUCAUGCUUUCAUGCAGAUAAUCAUUAUAAACAGUUUCCUUUUGGAUCUCUGAACCCUUAUUACUCAUCUAUUUCUCCAAAUUUGUCGUUGAAUUCGUACAUAACUAGUUAAAAUUUUUGCAUUAAUGCUCCACUGCGAGAGAUGGUUCACAAAUGACCUUUGUUGUUCUAGUGUAAUAUCCAAUAAUAACUAAACGCUCGGAUAAUUGCUUUAAGGUUAAAAACAGAACCUAAACAAGAAUGUAGAUCGCUGUCAUUGAUUAUUACACUCUUAAAUAAUUGAGAGCCUGCGAGAGUUAUGUUGUUCUUCCUGUUUACGAAGUAUCUUUGUGUGUUCUAAUUUGGUGAAGUAAUUUUGCGCGAUUUUUGUCACUCUUGUCUUGGAUUUGUUCAAGGCAUCUUUUGUCAUUUUCUUUUUUGGUUUUCUCACUUUCCACGCAAGUGAAAUUGAGCACACUGAUCUAUUGUUUCGUAGAUAUGGAUAUAUGUUAUUAUGCUCUUAUGGCCUAUGUUUUAGAUCUGAGCUAGUAUCGUAAAAAUUUCUAUUAGCAGAAAUAUGGAUCUGGAUAUGGAAAAGUAUACUAAAUUUUUUUUUUGAAAAAAAAAAACCUGAUUACUGGGCUUAUUUCAGCAAAAAGAAAAAGGAGAAACUGUGAAGAAAGAAGGAAGAGGAGUGAAGAAGGAUUGUGGAGAAAGAAGCAAGAAAACAAAAAUGAUACACCGAAAACCUUUAAUUGAUGUUUCAAAUAUGUCCCGAAUUUUGAAUAUCUUAUGAGUGAGGCUACUAUGCUAUCGGAAGCACGGAACCUUCCGUGCUUCCAGCUCAUUUUCGAUGUUGCGACUUUCGAAUCGUCGAUCGGCUCCGUUAAACUUGAUCUAGAGUAUUUGGAGUACCUAGAAAAUAAAUUUUAUUAUUUUUCGAUAUCAUUUGCCUAGUGAUCGAAUGGGCUCAAAAUCAACAAAUUUCAAUGGCCGUAGUGAGCCGUUUGCAAGUUUAACGGUGUAGAAAUAUCCAAAUCACGUGAAAUUUUGAUAGAAAAUUCUUUAUACUAUAUAAAACAAGAUCAAUAUUUUUGAUUUAAAAUUUUAAUGUCAUAUUAUCACAUUUUGUAAGAUUUUUAUUUUCAGCCGUUGAUUUUAAGCCCCUUCGUUCACUAGGCAAAUGAUAUCGUAAAAUCAUAAAAUUUAUUUUCUAGGUACUUCAAAUACUCUAGAUCAAGUUUAACGGAGCCGAUCGACAAUUCGAAAGUCGCAACAUCGAAAAUAAACUGAAAGCACGGAAGGCUCCGUGCUUCCCAUAGCAUAGUAGCCUCACUCAUAUCUUAUUUCUCCUUUUGUAGCUCUCAACAAC